AUUGAACGCUGGCGGCAUGCCUUACACAUGCAAGUCGAACGGUAACAGGUUAAGCUGACGAGUGGCGAACGGGUGAGUAAUACAUCGGAACGUGCCCAGACGUGGGGGAUAGCUCGGCGAAAGCCGGAUUAAUACCGCAUAAGCUCUGAGGAGGAAAGCGGGGGACCGUAAGGCCUCGCGCGGUUGGAGCGGCCGAUGGCAGAUUAGGUAGUUGGUGGGGUAAAGGCUUACCAAGCCUACGAUCUGUAGCUGGUCUGAGAGGACGACCAGCCACACUGGGACUGAGACACGGCCCAGACUCCUACGGGAGGCAGCAGUGGGGAAUUUUGGACAAUGGGCGAAAGCCUGAUCCAGCAAUGCCGCGUGCAGGAUGAAGGCCUUCGGGUUGUAAACUGCUUUUGUACGGAACGAAAAGGCGCCUACUAAUACUGGGUGUUGAUGACGGUACCGUAAGAAUAAGCACCGGCUAACUUCGUGCCAGCAGCCGCAGUAAGAC
rnacentral:rRNA from 1 species